rnacentral:rRNA from 1 species
AACGGCCAUACCAUGGUGAAUAUACCGGUUUUCGUUAGAUCACCGAAGUCAAGCAUCAUUGGGCGCGGUCAGUGCUUGGGUGGGUGACCACCUGGGAACACCGCGUGCCGUU